rnacentral:rRNA from 1 species
AUUGAACGCUGGCGGCAGGCCUAACACAUGCAAGUCGAACGAGUGGCGGACGGGUGAGUAAUGUCUGGGAAACUGCCUGAUGGAGGGGGAUAACUACUGGAAACGGUAGCUAAUACCGCAUACCAUCGGAUGUGCCCAUAUGGGAUUAGCUUGUUGGUGGGGUAACGGCUCACCAAGGCGACGAUCCCUAGCUGGUCUGAGAGGAUGACCAGCCACACUGGUACUGAGACACGGCCCAGACUCCUACGGGAGGUAGCAGUGGGGAAUAUUGCACAAUGGGCGAAAGCCUGAUCCAGCCAUGCCGCGUGUGUGAAGAAGGUCUUCGGGUUGUAAAGCACUUUAAGCUGGGAGGCGUUACCAGCAGAAUAAGCACCGGCUAACUACGUGCCAGCAGCCGCGGUAAUUC